rnacentral:misc_RNA from 1 species
AGAACUUGCCGGAGCCGGCCAUGGUGACGACGCCACGGGAACCUUUACGCCAGGAUGCAAGGCGGAUUUGUGAGUGGACGUUGUGAAAAAGAGAGUGAGAAAUGUCGGACUUGGAAGUGGAGAAUCGGAGAGGUGAGAGUUGAGAUGCGAGAGAAGAAGAGACCGCCGCCAUGGCCGAGCAGAGAUAGGGAUUCGCUUGGUUUACUUCGGCAGUCCUCCGCCGCUAGAAGUGACUGAAGAAGGUGUUUUUGUUUGGUGUCAGUUGUGG